rnacentral:rRNA from 1 species
AUUGAACGCUGGCGGCAGGCCUAACACAUGCAAGUCGAGCGGAUGACGGGAGCUUGCUCCUCGAUUCAGCGGCGGACGGGUGAGUAAUACCUAGGAAUCUGCCUGAUAGUGGGGGACAACGUUUCGAAAGGAACGCUAAUACCGCAUACGUCCUACGGGAACAAGCAGGGGACCUUCGGUCCUUGCGCUCUCAGAUGAGCCUAGGUCGGAUUAGCUAGUUGGUGAGGUAACGGCUGACCAAGGCGACGAUCCGUAACUGGUCUGAGAGGAUGAUCAGUCACACUGGAACUGAGACACGGUCCAGACUCCUACGGGAGGCAGCAGUGGGGAAUAUUGGACAAUGGGCGAAAGCCUGAUCCAGCCAUGCCGCGUGUGUGAAGAAGGUCUUCGGAUUGUAAAGCACUUUAAGUUGGGAGGAAGGGCAGUAAGCUAAUACCUUGCUGUUUUGACGUUACCGACAGAAUAAGCACCGGCUAACUCUGUGCCAGCCGCCGCAGUAACAC